CUCAAUUUGGACUAGCCACAUUUCAAGUGCUUGACAGUCACAGGUGACUAAUGGCUCUCCUAUGGGUUAUAGCCCAGCUCUUGACUCUUUGAUCCACAAGGAUAAGAACCACAUCCACUUCCACAUCUCCAGGUAUGAGGCAGAUAAAUAGCAGAGAGUGAUUACACGUAACUCUUCUCACCACGGAUUCCGGCAUUUGUGGGCAGCUGCAGAAGAGUAGGUGGGAGGAUCUCCCAGAUUAUGAGGCCAGUUUUUCUGUGGCUCAGAGAGUGCCAGUGACUCGCUCAAGAUAAAACAGCUUGUUAGUGGCAGGGAUGGAGCCCAGAAAUCCUGUUUCCUGUCCUCAGGAGUGUGUGUUCGAAAGAAGUUCUUGGCAAAGGAAAUCAACAAUGUUUUAGAUCAAAGCUGUUCCAUUUUCCUGGAUCCUAGUGGGGAGCUAACAUGGCGCAGAGCCACAGCCAAUCCAAGGACAUGUGGUAAGAAUGAUAAAUAAACCUUUGUUAUUUUAAGACAGUGAAAGUUUGCAGUCAGU
rnacentral:lncRNA from 1 species